GCAGUCGAACGGCAGCACAGUGUGUAGCAAUACACAUGGGUGGCGAGUGGCGGACGGGUGAGUAAUGCAUGGGAAUCUGCCCAGUAGCGGGGGACAACUCGGGGAAACUCGAGCUAAUACCGCAUACGCCCUACGGGGGAAAGAGGGGGACCGCAAGGCCUCUCACUAUUGGAUGAGCCCAUGUCGGAUUAGCUAGUUGGUGAGGUAACGGCUCACCAAGGCGACAAUCCGUAGCUGGUCUGAGAGGACGACCAGCCACACCGGAACUGAGACACGGUCCGGACUCCUACGGGAGGCAGCAGUGGGGAAUAUUGGACAAUGGGGGAAACCCUGAUCCAGCGAUGCCGCGUGUGUGAAGAAGGCCUGCGGGUUGUAAAGCACUUUUAGUAGGGACGAAAUUUCGCGAGCUAAUAUCUCGCGAGCUUGACUUAACUUACAGAAAAAGCACCGGCUAACUCCGUGCCAGCAGCCGCGGUAAUACGGAGGGUGCGAGCGUUAAUCGGAAUUACUGGGCGUAAAGCGUACGUAGGCGGCUUUGUAAGUCAGUUGUGAAAUCCCCGGGCUUAACCUGGGAAUUGCAGUUGA
rnacentral:rRNA from 1 species